rnacentral:ncRNA from 1 species
CAUUCUUUGCCACCGGGUAAAGAAUUGAGGUGUUCUACAACAUUCCGUUAGGUCAGGGAGGAAUGUUUGAGGGCGCCUUUUUGUU